GUAGGGAAUAUUGGGCAAUGGAGGCAACUCUGACCCAGCCAUGCCGCGUGCAGGAAGAAGGCCUUCUGGGUUGUAAACUGCUUUUGGAAGGGAACAAAACGUGCCUGCGGGCAAACUUGAGUGUACCUUCGGAAUAAGCACCGGCUAACUCCGUGCCAGCAGCCGCGGUAAUACGGAGGGUGCAAGCGUUGUCCGGAUUUAUUGGGUUUAAAGGGUGCGUAGGCGGGAGAUUAAGUCAGGGGUGAAAGACUGCAGCUCAACUGUAGCAGUGCCUUUGAUACUGAUUUUCUUGAGUACAGAUGAGGCUGGCGGAAUGGGUGGUGUAGCGGUGAAAUGCAUAGAUACCAUCCAGAACACCGAUUGCGAAGGCAGCCGGCUAAACUGUUACUGACGCUGAGGCACGAAAGCGUGGGGAUCGAACAGGAUUAGAUACCCUGGUAGUCCACGCUGUAAACGAUGAUUACUCGAUGUUGGCGAUAUACGGUCAGCGUCCAAGGGAAACCGUUAAGUAAUCCACCUGGGGAGUACGCCCGCAAGGG
rnacentral:rRNA from 1 species